CCUACGGGAGACAGCAGUGAGGAAUAUUGGUCAAUGGACGAGAGUCUGAACCAGCCAAGUAGCGUGAAGGAUGACUGCCCUAUGGGUUGUAAACUUCUUUUAUAAAGGAAUAAAACGCGGCACGUGUGCCUUUUUGCAUGUACUUUAUGAAUAAGGAUCGGCUAACUCCGUGCCAGCAGCCGCGGUAAUACGGAGGAUCCGAGCGUUAUCCGGAUUUAUUGGGUUUAAAGGGAGCGUAGAUGGGUUGUUAAGUCAGUUGUGAAAGUUUGCGGCUCAACCGUAAAAUUGCAAUUGAUACUGGCAGUCUUGAGUACAGUCGAGGUAGGCGGAAUUCGUGGUGUAGCGGUGAAAUGCUUAGAUAUCACGAAGAACCCUGAUUGCGAAGGCAGCCUACUAAACUGUGACUGACAUUGAUGCUCGAAAGUGUGGGUAUCAAACAGGAUUAGAUACCCUUGUAGUC
rnacentral:rRNA from 1 species